UACGUAGGGGGCAAGCGUUAUCCGGAUUUACUGGGUGUAAAGGGAGCGUAGACGGCAUAGCAAAUCUGAAGUGAAAGCCCGUGGCUCAACCGCGGAACUGCUUUGGAAACUGUUAAGCUGGAGUACUGGAGAGGCAAGCGGAAUUCCUAGUGUAGCGGUGAAAUGCGUAGAUAUUAGGAGGAACACCAGAGGCGAAGGCGGCUUGCUGGACAGAGACUGACGUUGAGGCUCGAAAGCGUGGGGAGCAAACAGG
rnacentral:rRNA from 1 species